rnacentral:rRNA from 1 species
AUGACGUCAAUCAUCAUGCCCCUUAUGACCUGGGCUACACACGUGCUACAAUGGCUGGUACAACGAGUCGCGAGUCGGUGACGGCAAGCUAAUCUCUUAAAGCCAGUCUCAGUUCGGAUUGUAGGCUGCAACUCGCCUACAUGAAGUCGGAAUCGCUAGUAAUCGCGGAUCAGCACGCCGCGGUGAAUACGUUCCCGGGCCUUGUACACACCGCCCGUCACACCACGAGAGUUUGUAACACCCGAAGUCGGUGAGGUAACCAUUUGGAGCCAGCCGCCUAAGGUGGGAUAGAUGAUUGGGGUGAAGUCGUAACAGGUAACCGUAA